GUUUCGUGAAGUGUGUAUAAAAGUCAGGUGCUGUCUUUUUUCUAGGCCCACUCUUUUGGACGUGAGUCAGCUGGGCCUGAGUGAACUCAAUAAAGAUUCUCCUGUUUCAACCAGAGAUCUCUCUUCGUCUUCCUGAAUCUUGCAACAUUUCUGGCAAGCGAGCCAGUAGGCCCAUGGAGAGGACAGAUCGGCUGUGUCCUUUGCCUGUAGGUGAUCUGGGGCCCCAGCAGUGGGAGACCUAUAACUUCAGGCACCACUGGGAGAACUUAAGCCCAGAGCCCAGAGUAGGAAGCGGCUCUCCACCUCCCAGCGCCCUCCCCGGACAGUGCAUCAGAACCUGGAGGGUUGCAGGACAAUCUCAAGAGCUGCACGCAGACAUCUGAACUGCGGCCACGGAUCUCAGGUAAAGUGGAGUACAUGAACCGGACACUCAAACAGCUGCUGAAGAAAUUUUGCCAAGAAACUCAUCUAAGUUUCAGGUAUCAUGCCUUGGAUUCACCACAGUCAGCUAAAACCAGCGGCCCAGGAUCAGUGGAUCAGUCAAUGAGACCCAGACCAUCCAACACGGCUGAUCCUGGGACAAGACCAUGUAACCAGUAGAAAUAACAGCAGCCCUGCUCUGGCCACUCUAGAAGCUGGCCAGUCUACACACGGCGGAAGCUGGAGGAAAACUGUAAGCCCUGCUCUAGUCAUGCAACCAGAAGUUGACUAGUCUACGCAUGGCCGAAGCUUGAGGCGUCUUCAUCAAAUGAGUAGAUAUGCAUACAAAUUUUAUGUUUAAUUACUAUCUUAGUAUGACUAGUUAUUUUAUUACUAUGCUACCAUUAUUGCCAAUCUCUCUGCCCAAGGGAGAACUCUUUCUGUCCAUAUUUAGUAUAACAAUGUUACUUUUUGCCUUGGCUUUAUUUGUACCUAAGUCUACACGAAAAGAAAAGCACAUAGAUAGUUGCCAUCAGUGCGUGCACGCUACGUAAAUAAGAAACGCAGUAGUUAAGACUUUAUGGUACCGUACAUACUAUGAAUACACAGAAACCCCUCUGGAGACUUGUAUGUACAACCAAACAACCUAUUCAGUCUGUGACCCAAUGAAUAGCCAGUCUUAUGUAUACUAUAACCCUAAGCUUUUAUCUAGGACCUGGUUUAAGAUUUGCGGCCGGGCGCGGUCGCUCAAGACUGUAAUCCCAGCACUUUGGGAGGCCAA